CUUUCUUUGCUGGCGACCGGCGCACGGGUGAGUAACACGUAUCCAACCUGCCCUUUACUCGGGGAUAGCCUUUCGAAAGAAAGAUUAAUACCCGAUAGUAUAAUGAUUCCGCAUGGUUUCAUUAUUAAAGGAUUCCGGUAAAGGAUGGGGAUGCGUUCCAUUAGGAUGUUGGUGAGGUAACGGCUCACCAAGCCUUCGAUGGAUAGGGGUUCUGAGAGGAAGGUCCCCCACAUUGGAACUGAGACACGGUCCAA
rnacentral:rRNA from 1 species